UAUUAUGUUAGACACAACUUCUCCCUCUUUGAAAACGCGACCUAAUUACAAUCCCAUAACCUUCAACCCAAAUCACAGUGUCACCGUCGAUUCUCACCGUUUCCGGCCACGCGACCUCCGGCGCCAAGCACUCACUCCGGCACUCCCUUCUCUCUCUCUCUCAAAUAGAGAAGAUCAAACAAAAUCCCUUUUUCUUUUUCACUCUCUGUUUUUCCAAUCCAAAUGGAAAUGUUUAUACAUGUGCGAGUGUGCUGCCAUCUCACAAUUUCUAUCAACAUCACCCCCAAAAUUCCGGUAUUUAAAGGGAAAUGUAAUUUCAUACGAGCUAUUCGAGGAAUUGGCCAAUAAAAUCAGAAGCUUAAAACAACAUGUGUGUGCAAUUUCUAUCAACAUCACCCCCAAAAUUCCGGUAUUUAAAGGAACUUGAACUUUGUGCUGCCAGCCAAAUUUUUCUCUUUUUCAUUUACGAAUUGGAUCUUUAUUUAUAUUAAAGUUCAUAUAUGUAUAUUAUCUUAUGCAACGGUUGUUUACUUGUUUGAUUCAAAAAUUGGAGAUGAGAAUGAAAUUGGAGAGAUAGUUGAAGAUAUGUAAGAAGUUGAACUUUUGCUUCGUGAAGUUACCAAUUCUUAGUUGGCUUCUCUUAACAUGCUAAA